ACUAAUGUUGGAGUAAAUACAACCGCUGCAUAGUUCUUAAAAUUACUAUUCAGGAUUAUGUUAAAAUUUAACGUGCUUGUCUUUACAAGUACUGCAAUAUUGUUAAAAUUACUAUGCCAUCGAUCGAUAAAUUUUACUAUCAUGAGAAGUCAAGAGCACUCUUGCCCUGCAUUGAAGAUAAAUACAAGAUCGGUAAUUUUUAAUGAACAAUGUUGUCAUUUUUACUAUGUGCAUGGUAAUUUUAACAACAAAACGUAGUGAUAAUGACCCCACCAACUUGGCUGUUUUUCUCCGUCAACUUGUGAAGGAUUAACAUAAGCGCGGAUAUAAAAGACUUUUGUUUUGUGUUUUGGACGUAAUAUUAAGCAAUGUUUUUAUAGUAACUAUUCUACCCAUGCUGAUAUUAAUCCAGAACUUUUAGAAUUGAUUGCAUCGUGCAAUUUCCAGACCCUAAUAAGUGAUCCAAAAUAUAAUUUAGGACUACUUCAUUCUACUUUUAUUGAAAAUUUGAGCGAUGGUGAGCAGAUUCUGCAUGUGCCGCCAUGUUCCAUCAGAGAUCAAUGAAGGCAAAUACGGGCAUAAAGUUCUCUGCAGGACUCCACUACGAUCGCCGUUUUUGAAAUCCAAAAAUCCUGUUUUUAAUGGACUAGAAAACACAUUACAUUAUCAGAGAAUUUAUUCUUCAAUAAAUAAUUACGAUUGAUGGAAUUGGAUAGUAGUUUUUUUGAUGGGUUGGAAUAAAUAUA